rnacentral:sRNA from 1 species
GUUCUGAUGGUACGUUUUUUUUGGUUUUUUGCUUCUUUU